CCUGUUCCUCCUCUUUUAUUCACAUUAGCGAAGAGAACAGGUGACGGAAUGUCUCCUCUGCAAUAUUGCAUUUUUUCCUUAAAGAUUUCCUACUUUAACUUCCUGUCUAGGAAGUAUUUUGACUUGUUAGUCUUGCAUUGCCAUAAAAUGUUUCCCUUCAACUUUCCCAGCUUCUGCAACUGGUCUGCAGUAGAAUCAGAAUCACCCUCCACUUCCAAAGACUAUGCGCAGUUGCUAGAAGCAAAUGAAAGAAAUAAUACUUUUUGUUGCUACUGAGAGAUAGGCUCAGAGAAAAAUCUUAGAGGGACUCCGUCCAUGAAGGUCUUCUUGGAAGAUGAAGAUACUAAUCUCCCGCUUUCUGGAACUUGGCCUCAAAUAUGGACUGAGGUUACAAGAGAAAAAAGAAAAUCUGACAAUUUUAUUCUUCUUUUACCUUUGUAAUAGAAUCACUAUUAUAUUAUCUGGUAAAGUUUAGAAUACAGAGGAGCUUCUGUUCAAGAAGCUCAAAAUUGAAAUACCAGAGGUGUAACACAGCAGGACAAGGUGAAUAGAUAUAAAAACUGUGGAAGCUUAUGUUAUGCCUGUCAGUACCACCCAACAUCAGAGCUCUCCUUUAUUAUUUUCUUCAUUAAAUCUAUCCACAAGUAUUUUAAAUUACUGCCUUUAAACUUCAAACUUGUAAGUUAAGUAAAUGGCAUAUUUUCUAAGAAAUCCAUUCUUGUACUGCUGCUGCUCAUUUACUUUACGGUUUUAGGUAGAUAACAACAUAGACCAUAUCCUGUUGCGCAGUCUUUGAAAGAUCUGUAAGUAUCACAAUUUAGUUGCAUGUGUCCCAGCCUCACUUGAUGCUUUGAAGGAUGCUUUUGCUAACCUACAUACAUUUAAAAACAGAGUAAGUGGGUUUCCUCUCCUUUUUUAGAGUGCAGUCUUUGCAGAAUAAAACAAUUUAAUUGCAUGCA
rnacentral:lncRNA from 1 species